UGGGGAAUAUUGGACAAUGGGGGCAACCCUGAUCCAGCCAUGCCGCGUGAGUGAAGAAGGCUUUCGGGUUGUAAAGCUCUUUCGACGGGGACGAUGAUGACGGUACCCGUAUAAGAAGCCCCGGCUAACUUCGUGCCAGCAGCCGCGGUAAUACGAAGAGGGCUAGCGUUGUUCGGAAUUACUGGGCGUAAAGCGCGCGUAGGCGGUAGUCCAUGUCAGAGGUGAAAUCCCGGAGCUCAACUCCGGAACUGCCUUUGAAACGGGACUGCUAGAGUCCGAGAGAGGAUGGCGGAAUUCCUAGUGUAGAGGUGAAAUUCGUAGAUAUUAGGAAGAACACCGGUGGCGAAGGCGGCCAUCUGGCUCGGUACUGACGCUCAGGCGCGAAAGCGUGGGGAUCAAACAGG
rnacentral:rRNA from 1 species